AUUGAACGCUGGCGGCAGGCCUAACACAUGCAAGUCGAACGAGUGGCGGACGGGUGAGUAAUGUCUGGGAAACUGCCCGAUGGAGGGGGAUAACUACUGGAAACGGUAGCUAAUACCGCAUACCAUCAGAUGUGCCCAGGUGGGAUUAGCUAGUUGGUGGGGUAACGGCUAACCAAGGCGACGAUCCCUAGCUGGUCUGAGAGGAUGACCAGCCACGCUGGAACUGAGACACGGUCCAGACUCCUACGGGAGGCAGCAGUGGUGAAUCUUGCACAAUGGGCGCAAGCCUGAUGCAGCCAGGCCGCGUGUAUGAAGAAGGCCUUCGGGUUGUAAAGUACUUUCAGCGGGGAGGCGUUACCCGCAGAAGAAGCACCGGCUAACUCCGUGCCAGCCGCCGCGGUAAUAC
rnacentral:rRNA from 1 species